rnacentral:rRNA from 1 species
AAACCGCUUAGGGGUUAAGCCUGAUGAACCCGAAUAUUUGAAAUGAGAAAUUCAUUAUUUUUUAGUAGUUUCAUUUGAAACGAACAAUGAUAUGCACUUUUCUCAGUGUAAAACAUUGCGAUCUAUUUGUAUAUCCGUAUGGAUGGUUUAUCAAAUGGCCCGUAUGGUUUGUUCAUUCCUAUCUGUGGCAUUUCAUGUCAUAUGGUUGAUGCCAUAGCGGUGACCUGGUAAACAGCAGAUAGUUUUUAAAAAUCAUGCAAGCACAUUUAUGUGUACCACGGUUUAUGUACUUCUUGUGCGUAGAUGCAGUGAUAGCAUGUAUUUGAUUAGCAAUGCGAUAGAUUGGGGAUACCUUCAGGACCCGUCUUGAAACACGGACCAAGAAGUCUAACAUGUGUGCGAGUCAUUGGGUAUUUUGUUGAAACCUAAGGGCGCAAUUAAAAUAACUAUUUUAUGGGAUUACAAGUGAAUUUCAUUUCAUUUCUUCAUCCCGGGGCGUUCUAUACGAACAUGGUGCAAGCAAUUGAACCCUCUGUUCAAGAGCGUACCUUGAGCAUACAUGCUGUGACCCGAAAGAUGGUGAACUAUACCUGAUCAGAUCGAAGCCAGGAGAAAUUCUGGUGGAGGAUCGAAACAGUUCUGACGUGCAAAUCGAUUGUCAGAAUUGGGUAUAGGGGCGAAAGACCAAUCGAACCAUCUAGUAGCUGGUUCCCUCCGAAGUUUCCCUCAGGAUAGCUGGCGCAACGAAUUAUAUUAUAUAUAAUCUUAUCUGGUAAAGCGAAUGAUUAGAGGCCUUGGGGCCGAAACGACCUCAACCUAUUCUCAAACUUUAAAUGGGUAAGAACCUCAUCUUUCUUGAUCUGAAGAUAUUGGGGUUUAGAUAUAUUGUGCCCAGUGGGCCACUUUUGGUAAGCAGAACUGGCGCUGUGGGAUGAACCAAACAUGAUGUUACGGCGCCUAAAUUAAUGACUCAUAUUGAUACCAUGAAAGGCGUUGGUUGCUUAAAACAGCAGGACGGUGGACAUGGAAGUCGUAAUCCGCUAAGGAGUGUGUAACAACUCACCUGCCGAAGCAACUAGCCCUUAAAAUGGAUGGCGCUCAAGUCAUAUGCCUAUACAUCAUCGCUAGAAUAAAAAUUGUUGACCAUUCGGCCAUCAAUGUGAAAUUCUAGUGAGUAGGAGGGUACAAUGGUGUGCGCAGAAGUGUUUGGCGUGAGCCUGCAUGAAGCCGCCAUUGGCACAGAUCUUGGUGGUAGUAGCAAAUAAUCGAAUGAGAUCUUGGAGGACUGAAGUGGAGAAGGGUUUCGUGUGAACAGUGGUUGAUCACGAGUUAGUCGGUCCUAAGCUUUAUGCGAAAGCUGUUUAAUUUAUGUU